UACGAAGGGGGGCUAGCGUUGCUCGGAAUUACUGGGCGUAAAGCGUGCGCAGGCGGUGAUGUAAGACAGGUGUGAAAUCCCCGGGCUUAACCUGGGAACUGCAUUUGUGACUGCAUCGCUGGAGUGCGGCAGAGGGGGAUGGAAUUCCGCGUGUAGCAGUGAAAUGCGUAGAUAUGCGGAGGAACACCGAUGGCGAAGGCAAUCCCCGUGGGCCUGCACUGACGCUCAUGCACGAAAGCGUGGGGAGCAAACAGG
rnacentral:rRNA from 1 species